rnacentral:rRNA from 1 species
GACGAACGCUGGCGGCGCGCCUAACACAUGCAAGUCGAACGGAGCUGCGAGAAGCUUGCUUUUCUUAGCUUAGUGGCGAACGGGUGAGUAACGCGUGAGUAACCUGCCCUGGAGUGGGGGACAACAGUUGGAAACGACUGCUAAUACCGCAUAAGCCCACGAUCCGGCAUCGGAUUGAGGGAAAAGGAUUUAUUCGCUUCAGGAUGGACUCGCGUCCAAUUAGCUAGUUGGUGAGGUAACGGCCCACCAAGGCGACGAUUGGUAGCCGGACUGAGAGGUUGAACGGCCACAUUGGGACUGAGACACGGCCCAGACUCCUACGGGAGGCAGCAGUGGGGGAUAUUGCACAAUGGGGGAAACCCUGAUGCAGCGACGCCGCGUGGAGGAAGAAGGUUUUCGGAUUGUAAACUCCUGUCGUUAGGGACGAUAAUGACGGUACCUAAAAAGAAAGCACCGGCUAACUACGUG